AGAGUUUGAUCCUGGCUCAGAUCGAACGCUGGCGGCAUGGCUAAAACAUGCAAGUCGAACGCGAAAGGGAGCAAUCCCAAGUAGAGUGGCGGACGGGCGAGUAAUGCAUUCCUAACGUACCUCGAGGUCAGGGAUAGCCGGGGAAUGUGCUAUCAGGUAGUUGGUGAGGUAACGGCUCACCAAGCCUAAGACGGCUAGCGGGUGUGAGAGCACGACCCGCCGCAUCGGGACUGAGACACUGCCCGGACUCCUACGGGAGGCUGCAGUAACGAAUCUUCCGCAAUGGGCGCAAGCCUGACGGAGCAAUGCCGCGUGUGGGAUGAAGUCCCUCGGGAUGUAAACCACUGUCAGGAUUUAGCAACACAAUGAGCAAAUCCAGAGGAAGAGACGGCUAACUCUGUGCCAGCAGCCGCGGUAAUACAGAGGUCUCGAGCGUUGAUCGGAGUUAUUGGGCUUAAAGGGUGCGUAGGCGGACUCGUAAGUGUCUUGUGAAAUCCCACCGCUUAACGGUGGAACCGCAGGGCAUACUGCGAGUCUUGAGGCCAGUAGGGGUUGCCGGAACUGUAGGUGUAGCGGUGAAAUGCGUAGAUAUCUACAGGAACGCCGAUGGUGAAGACAGGCAACUGGGCUGGUACUGACGCUGAGGCACGAAAGCGUGGGGAUCAAACAGGAUUAGAUACCCUGGUAGUCCACGCCGUAAACGAUGUGCACUAGAUCUGGGAGGUUCUGAUACCGACCGGAUCGAAGAAAAAUCAUUAAGUGCACCGCCUGGGGAGUACGGUCGCAAGGCUAAAACUCAAAGGAAUUGACGGGGGCUCACACAAGCGGUGGAGCAUGUGGCUUAAUUCGAAGCAACGCGAAGAACCUUAUCCUGGGCUUGACAUGCAUAGAUUAGCUCCUUGAAAGAGGAGUCACACCCGCAAGGGCGGAAUAUGCACAGGUGCUGCAUGGCUGUCGUCAGCUCGUGCUGUGAAGUGUUGGGUUAAGUCCCUUAACGAGCGAAACCCUUGCCGCUAGUUACCAACGGGUCAUGCCGGGGACUCUAGCGGGACUGCCGGUGUCAAACCGGAGGAAGGUGGGGAUGACGUCAAGUCCUCAUGGCCUUUAUGCCCAGGGCUGCACACGUGCUACAAUGGCGCCCACAAAGCGACGCAAUGCCGCGAGGCGGAGCAAAUCGCAAAAAAGGCGCCCCAGUUCGGAUUGUAGUCUGCAACUCGACUACAUGAAGUUGGAAUCGCUAGUAAUCGCGGAUCAGCUACGCCGCGGUGAAUACGUUCCUGAGCCUUGUACACACCGCCCGUCAAGUCAUGGGAGCCGGGAAUACCCGAAGUACGGUAGGCUCGGUGACUGGGACUAAGUCGUAACAAGGUAACCGUA
rnacentral:rRNA from 1 species